CUGUAACUUUUUUUCAGAGUGGAUGAAUCCGAUUCCAGGUUAUGUUCAGUCAGAGAGAGAGAGCUGAGUCAGAAUCUUCACUCCUUCAUUUCUUUGGUUUUACUCUGAGUGAAUGGAGGAGCUACUGAGCUCUGAGUUUCCUCUUCUGAAGUCCCCGUUGCUCCACCAGCCGCUCGCGUUCAGAAAAACUGAGCCGGAUCCUCUUUUAGAGGCUGUACGUGUAAAUAAGUGAAGUAAUUGUAAUUAGGUAAUAUUGUAUGCAGAAAUGAAGUAAAGUUUACUAAAAGAAAGGAUUGACUGAAGUUCAGUUCACUUAUUUUACUCUGUCACAUUUAAGUCUUGAAACAGAGUUGAAGUUAAAAAAAAGCAAAUGCGAAAGUUUUUUAAGGUAAAUUUUGCGCAUCAUUUUUUUCAGUGUAGGGUGGGCUUUUGUCUUUGAGGGCAGUGCUGAGCAAUCCCGAGCAAUGAGCUAAUUACAUACAAUUACAUUCAAUUACUUGAUACUGUAUGUUUAAAUAGAUCCGGUCUUUUCUUUUUACUGUUGGGUUCUUGUUAUAAAUCAGUGUUGCUCAGGUGAUCUCAGGUAUGAACUCAGGUGUGUGUUUUGGGUUGCUAGCUCACGAUGGCUGUAUGGAUUAUAGUUACAGUUUAUCCCUGAUCUCAGGACAGUGUAAAAUUUCAGGGGCAUGGCCUAAACUCCUCUCCAUUCUCUCCAAACCCGUAAUUAUCUCCUACCUCAUCAUCUGGUUCUCAUGGAGGACCCCAACAGUGUUGCCAAAACCAAGAAGCAGAUCUCCUCCAUCACAAUGCUCCCAUCAGCUCACUAUCAGCUCACUAUUGUUCCAGCGCCUGCAAAAGAUCAUCCGUACAGGUUUCCACUGAAAGAAGCAAAGAAGAAUCAACCUGAAGAGAAACCAGAGAGGUUGCACUGUUGAAGAUGGAGCUCUGGAGCUUUCCCACUAUCGCUCUCCUGGUCGGAACAGCCGGGAUCGCCAUAGCAACCCCUACAGAUACCAGCUUUACGGCAGAUCCGACUGUGAUUCUGGCUAUAAUAAAUGUUGGAACAACGUCAUUCCUGACUGAUAUGUCUUCAACUCCUGCCGCAACAGCGCCACCUGGAACCACGACCAGCGAUACCUCGGCAACCACAGCUGCACCCGCAACCACCACCAGCGAUACCUCGGCAACCACAGCUGCACUUGCGACCACCACAAGCAUUACCUCGGCAACCACAGCUGCACCCGCAACCACCACCAGCGUUACCUCGGCAACUACAGCUUCACCUGCAGCCAACUCUACCACCGGAGCUGCGAAUUCGCUUUUGACCACGGCUACUUCUGGAACCACGAUCUCCUCCGUAACUACGGUAACCAGCACUGGUGCACCAGGCGGCACCUCGACCAGCUCAGCAACAGCCAGCAUUCAAUCCAUCGGCGUCACCACAGCAUCUUCCUUCAGCCAAUCAGGUUCAAGCAGUCCGCUGAUGUCAGCAACCAACAACGACACAACCAUCAUCACCGUAACCACCGGCAACGUGACCACAGCAACCAACUCAACUGCAGAAACAACGGCGACCUCCUCCUCCACCUUCCUGCACUGCAACCAGCUUCUCACCGCAGGUACCCUGAUGUUGAUUCUGAGGUUUAUUCCUGUUUUAUAAAUGAAUCACAAGAAACAACAAGAACCAAAACUUAUUAAUUAUCUACAAAACUCUCUAAUAAAACUUUCCCUCUUCAUUAAUAAUAAAACUCU
ensembl:lncRNA